GAUGAAGAACGUAGCGAAAUGCGAUAAGUAAUGUGAAUUGCAGAAUUCAGUGAAUCAUCGAAUCUUCGAACGCACAUUGCGCCCGUCAGUAUUCUGGCGGGCAUGCCUGUUCGAGCGUCAUUACGCCCCUCAAGUCCCCUGUGGACUUGGUGUUGGGGAUCGGCGAGGCUGGUUUUCCAGCACAGCCGUCCCUUAAAUUAAUUGGCGGUCUCGCCGUGGCCCUCCUCUGCGCAGUAGUAAAACACUCGCAACAGGAGCCCGGCGCGGUCCACUGCCGUAAAACCCCCCAACUUUUUAUAGUUGACCUCGAAUCAGGUAGGACUACCCGCUGAACUUAAGCAUAUCAAUAAGCGGAGGA
rnacentral:misc_RNA from 1 species